rnacentral:misc_RNA from 1 species
UCUGGGUUUAUCCCAGCGGUCCCGUUAGAGGAAUAUAACUAACGACGGGGGUUGCGCUCGUUGCGGGACUUAACCCAACACCUCACGGCACGAGCUGACGACAGCCAUGCAGCACCUGUGCUAGCUCCCCGAAGGGUCCUUCGUCUUUCGACUCCGUACUACUAGCAUGUCAAGCCUUGGUAAGGUUCUUCGCGUUGCAUCGAAUUAAACCACACGCUCCGCCGCUUGUGCGGGCCCCCGUCAAUUCCUUUGAGUUUCAGUCUUGCGACCGUACUCCCCAGGCGCAGAACUUAACGCGUUAGCUACGGGACGACCCGCCUACGCGGGCCACCCCAAGUUCUGAUGGUUUAGGGCUAGGACUAC